AUUGAUGUCAACAGGCAGGCCAAAACUCCAUACCACCACUAUCAAAAUUUUCACAGUAUUAUAUGCCAACCUCAGUGUGGAAAUAUUAAUACAUGUUUUUGGCUGCACUGGGUCUAAAGAGUUUAACCUUAGCAUCAGGUACUCUGUUGUGUUUAAAGUAUCUCCAUUUAAAGGCCCAGUGCAGUCACAAAAUUCCAGUGUUAUUUCGACCUCAAUGUACUCAUUUUGAGAAUUACAUGUACUUUGAAACUUAAGUAUAUUUAAAACCAAGUGCUUUUUGACUUUUACUCAAGUAAGUAUUUUGCUAGGAGACUUUUACUUUUUAUUUUUUAUUUUUUACAUUUAAAAUUGGGUACUUUUUCUACCACUGCAAACUGGCUAUUAUUACUGUAACGUUAACUAGCCAACGUUACAUUGGCUACACAGUAAGUAUAGCUAGGUCGCUGUUUUUCUAUAUUAAACUACGUACGAUAUGUUGUAACACGGAACAAAAUAAAUUUGCGCCAGAAGGGCCCUGUUUGAACGCAAUUGUUACGCUAACUCUGUAUUCACAAUGUACAACACUCAGUGAGUCAACUCAAAUCCAGCUAACUGCAAAAGGUUACCAGCAUCUGUCAUCAGCAUUCAUCGGAGACGUGGCUAUACCCCAUUAAGACAUGUCCAUAUUGAAUUUGUCUUUCAGCAUAAAAAUAUCCUGCCUCUUCUUCACCAGUGAAUCAGGCAGCACUUCAGGGUCAUCGCUGAUGAAAGGCCUGCAAAAUGACAAGGAGGGGAUACUUGAGGACAAAGAGUAUGCGAUUGAGACAAAGACACACAUACACAGGACAGGCAGGUGAACAUCGACUGGCAGAGAAGCAGCUGAACUGGUUCCCCCCUAGCCCUUCUAGUUUGAUGCUGAAAGAGGUGCCUGCUGCAUUUGCUAAACUGGUGGUGCAGGUUGUAAAAAUACUCUAGCCUGGUCCCAGAUCCCUCUAGCCUGGUCUUGCUAACUCAUAAUGUAUGAUAGUUGUCAUGCCAUGUUUCCAUAGGAGUUGGCUAUAUAGUACAAACAGAUCAUAGACCAAACUAACAUUUGGCUGAUUUUCAGAACCGAAGGUGAAACUUCAGUGUACUUGAGGACUACUCUAGAAAUUGUUGGCUUUGUUGCAAGAUAGAAAGGAGAAUAAGCCAUGGUUUGCUUGUGUGUCACCUGAAUGUGAGGGCAAGCGGUUAUGUAUGAUAUGGUUAUGAUAGUAAUGUAGGCCCUAACAUGCACUUUGUUUUCAGGUUUGAAUGAGACAAUAUAUUCCCCUAACCUUAUUAUUUUAAUAAAGUUAUUGUUUAUGAAUAUUAUAUUACUUGUGUAUAUCUGUCCUUAUCAUAUGUAAUUGAUAAUUGUUUUUGGUGCAGAUGUGUUUAAUUUACUAUCUGGAUAAAGUGUCUGAUCAUGGAAAAUGUCAUAGAAUUUUUUUUAAGUGCCAUCAGUCACAUCAGUCCAUAUUUUGUAAGGAUAAGAAUAGAACUACCUUUUAAUGUGAAGAAGUUCUACCUUCCAGAGCUUGAGUUCUAAAAUAAUAACUUGAAAAGAUACCCAGCUAGCAAAUUUCAUUCCUUGGAAGUUGUGGGAAGGUACGUUUUUGGUUUCCCAUUGGAUCUGGGAACAAAGCCAGAAGUUUCCGUACCAGUAAAACCGAACGUUCUAAGAACGGAAGUUAACAUUUUGCCUGUUCUGGGAACAUUUAUUUUUAGGUUGCAG
ensembl:lncRNA